rnacentral:rRNA from 1 species
CAAUAGCGUAUAUUUAAGUUGUUGCAGUUAAAAAGCUCGUAGUUGGAUUUCGGAUGGGACUUGCCGGUCCGUCGUUUCGAUGUGCACUGGCCAGUCCUAUCUUGUUGUCGGGGACUAGCUCCUGGGCUUCACUGUCCGGGACUAGGAGCUGACGAGGUUACUUUGAGUAAAUUAGAGUGUUCAAAGCAAGCCUACGCUCUGAAUACAUUAGCAUGGAAUAACACGAUAGGACUCUGGCUUAUCUUGUUGGUCUGUGAGACCAGAGUAAUGAUUAAGAGGGACAGUCGGGGGCAUUCGUAUUUCAUUGUCAGAGGUGAAAUUCUUGGAUUUAUGAAAGACGAACUUCUGCGAAAGCAUUUGCCAAGGAUGUUUNCAUUA